AUUGAACGCUGGCGGCAGGCCUAACACAUGCAAGUCGAGCGGUUGACGGGAGCUUGCUCCCUGAUUCAGCGGCGGACGGGUGAGUAAUGCCUAGGAAUCUGCCUAUUAGUGGGGGACAACGUUUCGAAAGGAACGCUAAUACCGCAUACGUCCUACGGGAGAAAGCAGGGGACCUUCGGGCCUUGCGCUAAUAGACGAGCCUAGGUCGAAUUAGCGUGUUGGUGAGGUAAUGGCUCACCAAGGCGACGAUCCGUAACUGGUCUGAGAGGAUGAUCAGGCACACUGGAACUGAGACACGGUCCAGACUCCUACGGGAGGCAGCAGUGGGGAAUAUUGGACAAUGGGCGAAAGCCUGAUCCAGCCAUGCCGCGUGUGUGAAGAAGGUCUUCGGAUUGUAAAGCACUUUAAGUUGGGAGGAAGGGUUGUAGAUUAAUACUCUGCAAUUUUGACGUUACCGACAGAAUAAGCACCGGCUAACUCUGUGCCAGCCGCCGCGGUAA
rnacentral:rRNA from 1 species